ACAGUGGAGAAGAAGAAGGUGCAGGAGGAGGGAGGAGAAGCUGCCGUGGUUGAGGAGUCGAGAAAACAUGGCCCUGAGGGCUGGCUGAUUGGAGUUAAGAGCAGCCCAGAUAAAACAUAUGCUUUAGAUCCAUUUGGACUUAAUUUGUAUGACAGAAGCCUCUGUUUCUGCGAUUCCAAUUUGGCUGGAACACAGCAAAAGAAUAGACUCAGUGACCUGAUGAAGUUCAUCUGGGAAGCAGGGGGGUCUGGAUGGGCAGAGACUGAUUUUCUGAGGGUUGCUGUCAGGUGCACCAGUGGAUUCUGAGGCCAGAGGACACUGCUGGGUUUAUUGGGACUGAGUCAUCAAGAAAGCUUCCGUGGUAAUAAGUCAUGUUAUCAGCUACCAUGUGUGUGAUGUCAGAUUCCAAGCCUUGACAUGAGUUUUCCUACAACAGAUGCCUGGCGCCUGGCAGGAGUGCAUAGUUGUUACCGUUUUGUUACUGGUGUUUAUAUAUGUGUGUAUAUGUUCUUGGCAAGGAUGUGGAGGUCAGAAGUCAACAUCAGGCAUCUCUCUUAAUAAUCACCCUCUACCUUGUUAGUUAAUUGAUUAAUUUUUUUGAUAGGGUCUUCCAAUGAAUCUGGAGGUCAGCAGGUUAGCUAGACUGUCUGGGAAGAAGCCCUAGUGACCCUACUGUCUCCUCCUCCUCCCCCUGUUCUGGAGUCACAGGUACACACCAUUGUGCUUGGCUUAUAUGUGGGCACUGGGUAUCCAAACCUAGGUUUGGGGUAACCGAUUGAGCUGCCUCUCCUGACCUUAAAGUCUCACACCAUCAUCAUAUCGAUCACGUUAACAUAAAUACUCCAAGUUACAGAUGGCGUUUACAUGGAUAAGCACACAGUUCUCCUGAGUUUCUACAACGAGGAGCCACGUUUUGUCGCUCUGGGCCACAGCAUCCUUAUUCUAUAAAGGGCAUACUGUGUCUAUUGAAGAGCUAUGAUAAAAACAUGAGGCAGUGUCACAGGCCAGCCAUCCACGCUAGCAUCCGGCACAUAGUCGUAGGUGCUUAGAGAACAUUCGUUAGUGGUGUCAUCCAAGAUGUUACAGGAAGUCAGGGACUCUAGAACUCAGAUCUGCUCCAAAGCCUGCAUUUUGAUCUCACACCCUCUUUACAAAGCACAUGAAACUUUCUUUGACAGAUGUCACAUUCUUCUUUCAUGUGUUGGCAUCUGUGUAACAUGUGGCCCAUAUAGUACUGCCUUUGGCCCUGGUUACAGUACAAAUAGUUGGGGAAGAGGUGGCUUGGCUUCUCCUUGGUUUGGAUUCAGUCCUUUUUCUAGAUUUCCUUUGCAGUUAUGAAGUUUGAUGGAGAUAACAUAACAGAAACGGAAAGGCUUCUGCUAAACACCGGGGGCCACCAGCAUCCCCGAUGCCCUGUCUGCUCUCUGCUGUCUCCCUUCCUUCCCAAUUGUGUUACCUUCCUAGGUCAUUGUGUUUCCAGAGCCUCACUUUCUCCAUCUGCAAAAUGGGGAUGAUAAUGAUGCAUACCUUUAAGAAACAGGGAGGGGAGGGCAGGGGGAAUAAUUAUGCAAAUUAUGUGGUGGCAUCUGCCACGUAGGGCAUCCCAUUCCCUUCUCUACGUGAGUCAUUUCAAAUCGAUAAAUCCCACCCAUCCUUCAGUGCCCAGCUCAAAUAACCUCUCAUCACAAACCCCUCUCAGACAUCAAGACAAGAAGUGUGACACCUCUAAGUGUGACGUAGUGUGUGUGCUCCCACUACGGCUGGCUGAGAGUGACACUCUGAACAGUCACCAACUGCAUGAGUGUUAAGUGCACUCCAUGAGAAGGCAGACUUGACACUGAAAGGGAUUAGCUAUUGUAUUGUAGUGUCAUGGGGAGUGUAGAGAAAGUGUCAGGGGAGGGAUAAUUGGAUGACGGGGGAAUGGGAUGAGGCGGCAAAAUAACCUAUUUACCAAUCCAUGUGCAAUCAUUUGACUGUUUUAACAAGCACAGGAAGGAAUGUCACCCACAGCCACGAUCCUGCUCUAAUUAAACCCACUGCUGGGUCCUUGAGAUGCUCAGUGACCAAGCAAGAGAGCCUCUGGUCACCUUUAACCAACUAGGACCCAGUUCAGAGUCAAGGCCUUCAUUUGCACAGGCAUAUAUGAAAAGAAUUUCUUUCAAUGCUCCUGCUCUUGGCUGUUUUCAAAAGAACAAUGGGAGCAGGGCAAAGGAGGCUCUCAGAGCUUAUGGAACUUCCAUUUUCCUUCUCAUUGGCUAAGUCCUGCUCACAGUUUUCUGAGUUUACCUUCUCUAUCUGCCCCAAUUCUAAUGCCUUUUCCUGUCAGUCAACCUUCUCCCUCAUCUCAGUGUCUGUCCUUUGUCACACUUGACUCUUUCCUAUUGUCACCUCCCCUCAUCUCUGUUCUCUCUUAGCAAGCACAGGCUUUCCUUCCUGUUCAUCAGAUGUCCAGAGCAAAAACCGUGCCCAACCCUUUAUAGAUAGAUGCUCUGUAGACAUGGAUAGACUUGACAAAAUGGUUGGUAGGUGGUUCAUGCAAAUGGCCCUGCUGUUCUAUCUAAUGGAGAAAGAUCAUGGGACUGGAAUCUUCUCUCAGUUUUGCCUUUGUAUUGGAGAAGACAAAAGGGCCAACCAAGCACAGAGGGAACAUGGAGUCAGGUCUUGGAGUGUAUUUAAUACUUCCGGGAGUCAGAGAACCUCAAAUGGGGUGAUUGCAGCCAUAUUGGAGCUAACUAGUAUUUAUGAUGCAAAGGUAAUCCUGUAGGAAGCAGGAUCAUGACUCUUGUUCCAGUUUACCCAUUGGCUUACCCAAGCUGGAAAGUACACUUUUGUUAUUACUAUGACUUCUGAUAAUGCCUCUGCCUCCCUUGGUGGCAUCACCAAAAAGCAUUGUAUAGCAUUUGCCUCUCACCAAUUGCAUUCUAAAAUGUUUACUCACAGCUAAUCAUGGUGACCCCAUUACAAGCUUUAAACUAGCUCUUACUAGUUGUCUUGUGUUUCAGGAUUUGAGGAAACAGAGGCAAAGAAAGGUAAUGUGACAAAGUUCCAUGGCAGGAAUCUAGAAUGUUAUUCAAGUUUUGUUCCUGGACCAAGCACUGGGCUAAAUGAUUGUCUUCUUUGUAUAUAUGUAUUCAUGUAUGCGUGCAUGUGUGUGUGUGUUUGUGUGGUUGCACAAUCAUAAUGCCCUGUUUUGUUUUUUUGUUUUUUUAACAACCCCACCAUCAAUAAUCUCUUAUACUUCUCC
ensembl:antisense Srrm4os serine/arginine repetitive matrix 4, opposite strand